AGAGUUUGAUUCUGGCUCAGAACGAACGCUGGCGGCAGGCCUAACGCAUGCAAGUCGAGCGCGCCCUUCGGGGUGAGCGGCGGACGGGUUAGUAACGCGUGGGAACGUACCCUUUGGUAGGGAAUAGCCACUGGAAACGGUGAGUAAUACCCUAUGAGCCCUUCGGGGGAAAGAUUUAUCGCCAAAGGAUCGGCCCGCGUUAGAUUAGGUAGUUGGUGGGGUAAUGGCCUACCAAGCCUACGAUCUAUAGCUGGUUUUAGAGGAUGAUCAGCAACACUGGGACUGAGACACGGCCCAGACUCCUACGGGAGGCAGCAGUGGGGAAUCUUGGACAAUGGGGGCAACCCUGAUCCAGCCAUGCCGCGUGAGUGAAGGAGGCCUUAGGGUCGUAAAGCUCUUUCGCCUGUGAAGAUAAUGACGGUAGCAGGUAAAGAAACCCCGGCUAACUCCGUGCCAGCCGCGGC
rnacentral:rRNA from 1 species